UCCCGCUCCUUUACUUUAAAAGUUGAAGAAGAGAAUGACACGGAACCCGUGCUGGCUUUGAACAUGCUGUGCCUUACCGAGGGGGUCAAGGAUGAGUGUAAUGUGGUGGAAGUUGUGGCCCGGGAUCACAACAAUGAGGAGAUUGCAGUUCCUGUGGCCAACCUCAGGUUGUCUUGCCAGCCCAUGCUCAGUCUAGAUGAUUUCCAGCUCCAACCACCUGUAACCUUUCGCCUGAUGUCUGGUUCUGGUCCUGUUCGGAUCACUGGUUGGCAUCCGAUCAUUUGUGUAAACAAUGAUCUUUCUGAAGAAGAAAAUGAGGAUGAGAGCGAAGAAGAAAUUAAAUCGUGUGGCAUCCAUCCUGCCAAAAAGCAUAGGGGCAGGCCCCAGCCCUCUGGUCAGGAAGCUGCCUGCUCCAGGUGCCAUGCUCCAUAAGUUCCUGAACAAGUUCAAGAAUGUUUUUCUCUCUGGAGACAAUAGGGGGUGGGAG